UCUGUGUGGGAACUGUACAAGUGAUGAUUAGAACCUGUGGCUUACAAAAUGUAUGGUUCUCAGCGUAUGAGGUAAAGAAGCCGCUGCAAGUUGUUACUCUAGAACUCAACACAGGAAGCGAAAAUCACAUUAGAGGUUUUCGUUGCUUGGGAACAGUGUGGCGCCCCCGUCACAUGCCCCGCCCACUGCAGGAUCCCAGAACAAGCCGCAAGUGCGAGUGUCUGGAUCACUUGCCGCUUAUCAUACUCCCAGCCUGCGUUCUCUAUUUCCACAGCAGCGGGAGACUGAUGAGCAAAGAUUAACUGUCCCUCUAUGAGUUUACCGGAAGGCGUUCCGCUGCAUGAGCGCACUCUUCCUGCGUGCGCCAGGGCUGGCCGGGUUGCUGAGCUUCAAGCAAUACGGCCAAAGUUUCCACUCCCCCAGCAAUGUCAUUCGAGCCUGCCGUGGGCAGCCAUCCUUUCAGUGCUGCCACUCUGUCAACCCCUGUACCAACGCAGGCAUGAGGCAGCAACAGCACCUGUGUCCACACCAGCGCCAUCCACAGUAAAAGUCUACCUUAAAGACAAAUUCAAUGCUUCAGAUAUCGCUGCAACCAUACCCGACUCUAGUGCUGCUGCCUUUUCUUUUACUCCAACUUCCAAGCCCAAUGCUACAGCACCUGCUAAAAGCCAGCCUACAGUUCAGCCUAGUAAGCUGAUUGCUGUCUAACGUAAAGCUCACCUGUACUGCCCACUUCUCACAAGCAGUUGUAGAACUUGGUUCUUUCUGUAGUUGUAAAUACACAGGUGCUGUCCAUUUCCCUAGUCACCUGGGUCUUGAAGCAUUUUUAAAAUUUGCCUUUGCAUAAGUGUUAGUUCACACAAGGAGAUUCGAGGAUAUUUUGUCGCCUGGCGUCAAAACCUGGAGGAAACUUUGGGCGACUUCGGAAAACGCAGAGCCGCGUGUGCUUAGCGCAGGUGACUUUUCAUUAUAGCCUAUGGGAAGACAUGCUGAGGCAGGUCGGGGAGAUUCUCACACAGAAGACGAGGCGAUUAGUCGCCAGGCGACAAAAUCUCCCCGAAUCUCCUUGUGUGAACUAACCCUUAAUGCAAUGAUAAAAAAUAAUCUAGUACCUAAAUUCAAUCUGAGCUAAAAGACAGUCACUUUUUCUUAUACUGUUAUACGAUCUAAAUAAAUAAAAAUCAAGAUAUUAAAGGAAAACUAUACCCCCAAACAAUGUAGGUCUCUAGAAAAAAUAUAUUCCAUAAAACCGCUCAUAUAUAAAACCCUGUUUCAUGUAAAAUAACCCAUUUUCAUAAUAUACUUUUUUAGUAGUAUGUGCAAUUGGGUAAUUCUAAAUAGAAAACUGCCAUUUAAAAAAUAAGGGCCACCCCUUGGGAUCCUAUCCUAAAUUGCAUGAGAAGAGGUUAAUGCAAAUUGUAUCGUGGUUAGUGGAGCUACAGCUUUUCCCCAAACUUUAAUGUUCUAUUGUAUCCCCAUUUAUAAUCUAUUAUGUCUCAUUUUUUGGCUCUUUUAGAUCUACAACUUUAACAAUGUGCUAGUUCUGCCAUGGUGCUUGACUACCCCUUAUCAUGUUAAAAACAGUUGCUGUUCUAGUAUUCUGUGAUCCUCCUGCUGUCAAUCCUCCUGCUGUCAAGCACAUUUCCAUUUUACAUGUAUCAACAACCAUUCAGACUCACCGCAAGCCUUCUUUGAAAAUCAGGCGGCCCAUGGAUGCAUCACCGGAUGCUGGGUUCCCUCAGUGUUUCACGCUGCAUUGAAUAGGAAGAAGAAAAAGAGUUUCCACACACCAGAGUGCUUUGAAAUCCAAAAUCUUUAUUAAUCCAUAGUAAAAGACACGGAGCACGUCUAGCUUGAAGCGUUUCGGGCGCAGGCGCCCUUAAUCAUAGACAUAGGGGAAAAGCAAAUAGAAAGUCCAUAUAACUAGACCAAUCCCACAGCGACCUCUAUUGGUAAUAAUCUAAUGAGAUAUAACACGUUAAUUAAUGGGAUUGCGAGAUAUACCAAUUAUAGAAUUAUAAAAGAAACAUGGUGGAUUAAAAUAAACAAAAAUUUAAUUUUAACAAAAAAAGAUCAUUGCCAUUUUAAUCACAUCAUCUGUGAGAUCACGUCACAGGCCAUGGGGCACCUCUUAAUGUCCUGUUUUAACUAGGUAGCGCUUCAGGAGUCACAGAACUACUACUAAUUGGCUGCAAUUACUACUACUUACUAUUACCCCUCCCAAACAGUGUACUGUACAGAGCCUUACUCUUUGCAUGAAGGAACAAUUUUUACAUGCUCCAGCCAGGUUGCUUUCUGCAGGCAAAAAGUAUAACACAGUCAAGCCAAACUUGUGAGAAUGCUGUAAUGUAAAUAUGCCAUUAGUGGGCCCAGUGCAGUUUUCUUCCACAUAUCAAAUUUGCCAACUCUUCUAAUGCAAAUACAUAUACAUAUUAGACCUGUCUACUAUAAAAUCCAGCUGUAAUUAGAAGAAACAGACUGACAAAACAGAACUUAUACAGUUAUUUUACUAGCUUUGUGCUGGUUAGAAAUUGUGCAGAAAUGUUGGUACCUUGCAACCACAAGGGAUGGUGCGGUGCACAUGCAGAAUUAGUGUUUAACUGGCACACUGUCAGGCUAUAUAUGCCACUAUAUGGCAAGCUCAUGAAAUGCAAAGGGAACCCCAUUCUUACCAAUCUGUCAGUAGCAGGGCUCCAGAGAUUGAGGUGCAUUGCUAUCAACAUGACCUAUAUGUAACUUUUAAGUUUUUUUUUUCUCUGUUUUGUUUGGACUUUUUAAUAUGUCAUGCCCUGCUUUAAUCUGUCUUUGGUAAUCAACCCCUGAAUUUAUUGGAACUAAAUUGUGGGCCUUUUAGUGGCAGAUAAGGGUGGAUUUGAAGAUCCCAUGGAUAGUUUUACCCCUAUGGUUCAUGCAUUAUGCAUAAGUAAUGAGCUGCACAGGCUUCAAGAAGGCAGAGUAAGACAAAAUGCUGCUAAGAGUAACCUAGUUUUCACUACCCUUGAGGGAUUUGCCAGCCUUGAGGAUGCCAAGCAAUGGAAAACAAGACCCCAAAUAUCUCCAGCUGCUCUAC